rnacentral:snRNA from 1 species
GUCCCUUCAGCAGCACAUACACUAAAAUUGGAAUUAUGCAGAGAUUAUUUGCCUCUGCACAAAAAUGACACACAAGUUUGUGAAGUAUUCCAUAUUUGG